AGUGAAAUUGCUGGGUCAGAGGCAAAAUUUGUUUUAACUUCUAAGGAACUACCAGACUGUUUUCCAAAAUGACUGUAUCAUUUUUUAUUCCCACCAGCAAC
rnacentral:pre_miRNA from 1 species